AGGAGGAGGAGAGGAGAAAGAGGAGGUCCCCCUCACCCGAGAGGAGAUCAAGAUCAGCUUCACCUCACGUCAGAUCAAGAAGGUAUUACUGUAUCAUGGAACUACCACACGACCUUAUUAGGAAAGGGCCUUCAUCACUAUUAAUAAUACAUGUACCUUUACUUACAGUUCAGUAUUUAUAGUGUCAGUGAAUGUAGUGGAGGGUCUUUAAAAUGUUAAUUUAAAUGUUGCUCUUGUUUUAGACGUAGCCGAAGCUAUUCUCCUAGAAGGAGGCGGAGCUUAUCAAGAUCUUAUACUCCUCCUGACAGACACAGAUACAACAGAAGUCGUUCAAGGUCUCCUCCUGAUCGUUACCAUAGACACAGGAGGUCUCCGUCACCUCACAAGUCGUCAAGACGAUCACCAGAUAGAGAGA